rnacentral:rRNA from 1 species
GUAGGUGGGCAAGCGUUGUCCGGAAUUAUUGGGCGUAAAGCGCGCGCAGGCGGUCCUUUAAGUCUGAUGUGAAAGCCCACGGCUCAACCGUGGAGGGUCAUUGGAAACUGGGGGACUUGAGUACCGAAGAGGAAAGCGGAAUUCCAAGUGUAGCGGUGAAAUGCGUAGAGAUUUGGAGGAACACCAGUGGCGAAGGCGGCUUUCUGGUCUGUAACUGACGCUGAGGCGCGAAAGCGUGGGGAGCAAACAGGAUUAGAUACCCUGGUAGUCCACGCCGUAAACGAUGAGUGCUAAGUGUUAGGGGGUUUCCGCCCCUUAGUGCUGCAGCUAACGCAUUAAGCACUCCGCCUGGGGAGUACGGCCGCAAGGCUG